CUUGUUUUUUGAAGGCUUCAGCAUAUAGCAGAAGUGAACGCUGCCUUUUUUAAAAAAGUAACGGCGCUUAAGAAACAUUGCAAUGUUGUGAGAAAUGUCACCCUUAUAUAGAUAUGACAUCUUGACAAGAAAUUAAGCUGUACAGUCUAUAUUUUAUUAGCUAAGACAUAUAGUGAUAGCAAUAGCUGUCCAUUAUAGAAACAGCUGCGAAAUCAAUUUAAUUUAGUCAGUCAGUCAAAAAGGCUAAAGCAUAUAGCAAUAGCUGCAAGCUGCCCUUGCAUUAGAA